AGACCACCCUUUAGAGGGCGGGGGAGCCGGAAGGGUUUCUUUGCGGGGAUGGUGGACCACUCCGCUGGAGAGUGGUGUUGAGGUUUGGGGACCAGAUCACUCGGGGGUGGGGAGCAGACCGUGGGAGCACAGCCCUCUGAAGAAAUGAGCUGAACCAAGAAGAGGAUGGGGGAAGGGAAGCAGGCCACCGGGGCUCCCUUUCCCGUGGCUGAGGGAGAGACGCUGGACCUGACACAAACUAGUGCCCCCCCCGGCCACCACAGGGAUGGGGCAGAGGCAGGGACCAGAGAAGACCGGCUUCCACACCUCACCAGUGUAUUCACCCUCACUGGGCCCACUCUGUGCUCCACUGGCAGUCGGUGGGGACGGCCUCUGACGGGACUACCAGCAGGAUGUCAAGAGAGCCAGGCAGAGGACGAGGUAAUGGUACCUGAGUUUAAAAUGGUACCGGAGUUUAAAGGCGUGUGACGGUUCAAUUCUAUUCUUAUGCCUGUCAGCAGAUUUCUGCGGCCUUUGUUUCACCUGAGAUAAGGUCUACCCGCUCCCUUUUUUGGCCCUUUGUGAAUGAGAGAACCACAGGAUGGGACGCGGCUCAACACUAAGUCUUGGCUUAAAUCUCACCUAGAGAUGCCUUCUCGAACCUCCCAGUUCAAGUAGCUCCACUUCUCCUCUCCACCAAGUUACCCGGCUUUAUUUUCCUCGUGACUCUCAGAACAUUUUCCUGUUUAUAUAUGUGUUUGUUGAUUAUCUGA